GAGGAGCUAAUACCGGAUACCGACCACUUCGGACAUCCGAUGGUGGUGGAAAGUUUUUCGGUCAGGGAUGGGCCCGCGGCCUAUCAGCUAGUUGGUGGGGUAAUGGCCUACCAAGGCGACGACGGGUAGCCGGCCUGAGAGGGCGACCGGCCACACUGGGACUGAGACACGGCCCAGACUCCUACGGGAGGCAGCAGUGGGGAAUAUUGCGCAAUGGGCGAAAGCCUGACGCAGCGACGCCGCGUGAGGGAUGAAGGCCUUCGGGUUGUAAACCUCUUUCAGCAGGGACGAAGCGAAAGUGACGGUACCUGCAGAAGAAGCACCGGCUAACUACGUG
rnacentral:rRNA from 1 species